rnacentral:lncRNA from 1 species
CACACUCACUCUCUCUAGAAAUGAUAAAAAGGUCCAGAAUAAUAAAAAUGCUCAUAGACAACAACAGGGAGAUGGAGAAUCUCCUUGAUACACUCAAAGUCCCAUAAAUAGAAGUGACAACUCUAAACAAUGCUCUCUCUCUGAGAUUCGAGGACUUGGUAAACAAAAUAAAAAUUGUUUUGCUUUCACCAAGCCUUUCUAGCUUAGGAAUGGAGAUCAAAUUCCCAAGUCUUAUAGAGGGGAACUUGUUUACUACCAACCUGAUCCCUACUGCAAAAAGAAAGAGGUAAUCACCAC